CCACGAAUAAUCUCACUGUUCUGAUUUUGUAAUAAUCAGAGCAGGCUAAACAUUUGCUAUAUUAAGACCAUGCAUGUGUCCCCAGACUUAGUUCCUUCCCUAGGUCUGGUUUUAUCAGUGCUGGUGAUGGAC
ensembl:snoRNA SNORA72 Small nucleolar RNA SNORA72